UCCCUCAUAGCUCAGUCGGUAAAGAAUCUGCCUGCAAUGCAGGAGACCCAGGUUUGAUUCCUGGAGAAGUAA
rnacentral:tRNA from 1 species